CACAUCAGCGACGAGCUUCGAGCUCGAAGCGUUGAGCUCCGGUAGCCGCCGCCGUCGCCGUUGCCGUUGCCGUCGAAGCAUUCACAACAACAAAACGUUGACAGGUCCGGAACUGGGCGCUUUUGUUGCGGCUCGCCGUGACAAACGAUGCGAUCAGCGGCAGCAGCGGAUUAGAUCAAAAGCAAAGAUCCAUCUAAAUCGCAAUGCAAGCAUAUUUGUGUCGACACUUUGAGGCAACCCGCA